UACGGAGGGUGCAAGCGUUGUUCGGAAUUACUGGGCGUAAAGAGCGUGUAGGCGGUUUGGCAAGUCAGAUGUGAAAGCCCUGAGCUUAACUCAGGAAGUGCAUUUGAAACUGCUUUACUUGAGUAUGGGAGAGGAGAGUGGAAUUCCCAGUGUAGAGGUGAAAUUCGUAGAUAUUGGGAGGAACACCCGUGGCGAAGGCGACUCUCUGGACCAAUACUGACGCUGAGACGCGAAAGCGUGGGGAGCAAACAGG
rnacentral:rRNA from 1 species